UACGUAGGGUGCAAGCGUUAAUCGGAAUUACUGGGCGUAAAGCGUGCGCAGGCGGCUAUGCAAGACAGAUGUGAAAUCCCCGGGCUCAACCUGGGAACUGCAUUUGUGACUGCAUGGCUAGAGUGUGUCAGAGGGGGGUAGAAUUCCACGUGUAGCAGUGAAAUGCGUAGAUAUGUGGAGGAAUACCGAUGGCGAAGGCAGCCCCCUGGGAUAACACUGACGCUCAUGCACGAAAGCGUGGGGAGCAAACAGG
rnacentral:rRNA from 1 species